AGUGUGUGCUGCUAUAAUGUGAGAGCUCUGUUCGAUGAGCUUCCUACCCCUCACCUAGUUCUGGAGAUUACAGCUUUCCCUGCUGGACCUCUCACUGAUAAUGACUACCGCAAGGCCGAGAGGCUCGAAAUGGUGCUGAGGAUGAGUGCUUCCAUUUAAUUUCAGAACACCCAUUUUCCAUUUCAGCUUACUUUUGCCCAAGCUGUAAAUUUUCUACCGAUGGGGCUCGAAAUGGUGCUGAGGAUGAGUGCUUCCAUUUAAUUUCAGAACACCCAUUUUCCAUUUCAGCUUACUUUUGCCCAAGCUGUAAAUUUUCUACCGAUGGGCCUGUAAAUUGAUUCAGUCUUGCUAAGAAGUUAAGAACUACUUGUAAAACCUGAGUUCUGCUC
rnacentral:lncRNA from 1 species